CAGUCGAACGGAGUACCCCUGAAGGAGUUUUCGGACAACUGAUGGGACUACUUAGUGGCGGACGGGUGAGUAACGCGUGAGUAACCUGCCUUGGAGUGGGGAAUAACAGCUGGAAACAGCUGCUAAUACCGCAUAAUAUGUCUGUGUCGCAUGGCACUGGACAUCAAAGAUUUAUCGCUCUGAGAUGGACUCGCGUCUGAUUAGCUAGUUGGCGGGGUAACGGCCCACCAAGGCGACGAUCAGUAGCCGGACUGAGAGGUUGGCCGGCCACAUUGGGACUGAGACACGGCCCAGACUCCUACGGGAGGCAGCAGUGGGGAAUAUUGGGCAAUGGGCGCAAGCCUGACCCAGCAACGCCGCGUGAAGGAAGAAGGCUUUCGGGUUGUAAACUUCUUUUCUCAGGGACGAAGCAAGUGACGGUACCUGAGGAAUAAGCCACGGCUAACUACGUGCCAGCAGCCGCGGUAAUACGUAGGUGGCAAGCGUUAUCCGGAUUUACUGGGUGUAAAGGGCGUGUAGGCGGGACUGCAAGUCAGAUGUGAAAACCACGGGCUCAACCUGUGGCCUGCAUUUGAAACUGUAGUUCUUGAGUACUGGAGAGGCAGACGGAAUUCCUAGUGUAGCGGUGAAAUGCGUAGAUAUUAGGAGGAACACCAGUGGCGAAGGCGGUCUGCUGGACAGCAACUGACGCUGAGGCGCGAAAGCGUGGGGAGCAAACAGGAUUAGAUACCCUGGUAAUCCACGCUGUAAACGAUGGAUACUAGGUGUGGGGGGACUGACCCCCUCCGUGCCGCAG
rnacentral:rRNA from 1 species